rnacentral:rRNA from 1 species
AGUUCGGAUUGUAGUCUGCAACCCGACUACAUGAAGCUGGAAUCGCUAGUAAUCGCGGAUCAGAAUGCCGCGGUGAAUACGUUCCCGGGUCUUGUACACACCGCCCGUCACACCAUGGGAGCCGGAAAUGCCCGAAGUCAGUGACCCAACCGCAAGGAGGGAGCUGCCGAAGGUGGAGCUGGUAACUGGGGUGAAGUCGUAACAAGGUAGC